UGAUUGCAGAUUCCGUGAUCAUCGAGUCUUUGAACGCACAUUGCGCCCCCUGGUAUUCCGGGGGGCAUGCCUGUCCGAGCGUCAUUGCUGCCCAUCAAGCACGGCUUGUGUGUUGGGUCGUCGUCCCCUCUCCGGGGGGGACGGGCCCCAAAGGCAGCGGCGGCACCGCGUCCGAUCCUCGAGCGUAUGGGGCUUUGUCACCCGCUCUGUAGGCCCGGCCGGCGCUUGCCGAACGCAAAUCAAUCUUUUCCAGGUUGACCUCGGAUCAGGUAGGGAUACCCGCUGAACUUAAGCAUAUCAAUAAGCGGAGGAAUCUUG
rnacentral:rRNA from 1 species